CAUUGGGCUCGUUUCAUGUCCCGCUUGUGUGGAAACUAGAGCAGGUGAAGUGAAGUGACGGUAUUUCAUCACCUGACCAGAGCUACCUCGCGCCUCUGACCCGCCCACCCUUCACGCGCAGACGGAUAAUGUCCACGCUUUUAUUUUAUUGGGUGUUUAUAUGUUAAGAGACUUCGGCUCAUAGCUACUCCACAUUCCUUCGACAACCAUGUAAGCAAUGUAACCAGACCAACCGCAUUGUGGCAGAUGUGAUAAGAUUACAUGAGCUCUUGCUCCUCCUGGAAUGUGAGCGGUCCCAUGCAGAUAGCACACAGGUUCCCCAUCAGUCUGAAGCACAGUGAGCAGUAACGGCCUGUGAAAGGAAAUAAAUUUGCCCAGCGGCACUUUCCCACAGGCCAUGCAUGAUUCUUUAUCGAUAUCCAGGAGCCUGGCUAUGAUAACACCCCCUGGCAGGCUGUAAUAAGGAUGGUACCUGGCACACACAAACCUCUGUAAACGUUUGACGUAGCCACCAGCAAUCACAAUAAACAGCGUGAAGCCAUAAAGAAGACCUUUGUUUGGAGGGAAGACAAGACAGGAUGUCAAAUGAGGCUGCAAUGUCCCUAAAGAUAUCUGAGGCGUAACCAGAUCCAUUCACUUGUACUGCAACCACUACAGGAGCUGGAGGUGAACAAAAAUGGAAGUACAUACUGGAGAUACAUGAAGAGAAGCAGGAAGAAACCCAUGUAUGCAAGUAGGACCUUGAGCUCCUGGAGGAGGCCCAGCUGUUCAGACACUUCCUCCAUGAUCUCCUGAGCAGCGUCCUGCAUGGACUGACUGUUGUUCAGAAGCAGGUCAAAGUUGAUGGAGGUGAAUCUCAGAAGAUGAGUUUUACUUACGAAAAGCCAAAGCAGUCUUCAUGUGGUCAGCAAUAUAUGAUGGUAAGAUGCAGAACAGCUGUCCCACUGUGGGAAACGUCCAUAAAAAAGGCAUUAAUUAAAAACAUUUGUGAAAAUAGCUUCUUCUAAAAAUCCUUUUAGUGAUGAUAUGCAGUUUUUCAAGUUAUUUCAAGUUAUUGACAAAAGCAUUGCACUAAACACCAGAACUGCUCCAUGAGGCUGUAUAGCUUUCAUUUUAGUGCUGAUUUAGCACUGUUGCUAGAGGUUAUGUUUGGAUUUGCAGUCAGAUUUGUGAUUUGCAGAUUUGCAGUCAGCCUGUUGAGUAAUGUUAGAGAUGCAUACACAUGGGAACACCACUACCCCUCUUCAUACUGUAACAUUUAGGGUACUUAAACGUGACAAACUGCUCCCACAAGAACACUUAUUGAAAAUAAACUGUAUAUAUUGAGCAUGUGAGAAUAAACAGUACUUAGGAGCCUCUGUCGCAGGAACCGUUUGUCUCAGUUUCUGCAUUGGCAGAAUAGAUCAAAUAUACUAAAAUAUAAUGAAACCAAAUCACUGUGACGCAGAAAAUAAUGCACCGUGGCUAUAUGGCUUCCUGUAAAGAGUGUAAUGACAGGGCUUUCAAGGGACUAAU